rnacentral:rRNA from 1 species
GCCCGCUACAGAAACUUAAAGGAAGUUGACGGGACCCCGCACAAGCGGUGGAUCAUGUUGUUUAAUUCGAUGAUACGCGAAGAACCUUACCAGGUCUUGACACUCCCCGCGAUGCUUUAGAGAUAAAGCGGAGGUAUUCGGGGAGACAGGUGGUGCAUGGUUGUCGUCAGCUCGUGUCGUGAGAUGUUGGGUUAAGUCCCGCAACGAGCGCAACCCCUAUUGCUAGUUACCAUCAUUAAGUUGGGGACUCUAGCGAGACUGCCAGUGAUAAACUGGAGGAAGGUGGGGAUGACGUCAAAUCAUCAUGCCCCUUAUGACCUGGGCUACAAACGUGAUACAAUGGCUGGAACAAAGGGAUGCGAAGCAGUGAUGUGGAGCGAAACCCAUAAAAACAGUCUCAGUUCGGAUUGAAGUCUGCAACUCGACUUCAUGAAGUCGGAAUCGCUAGUAAUCGCGGAUCAGAACGCCGCGGUGAAUACGUUCUCGGGGUUU